rnacentral:rRNA from 2 species
UGGGUUCAGAACGUCGUGAGACAGUUCGGUCCCUAUCUGUCGUGGGCGAAGGAGAUUUGAGAGGAGCUGACCUUAGUACGAGAGGACCGGGUCGGACGCACCACCGGUGCAUCAGUUGUUCUGCCAAGGGCAUAGCUGAGUAGCCGCGUGCGGGAGUGAUAAACGCUGAAAGCAUCUAAGCGUGAAACAUGCCUCAAGAUAAGAUCUCCCAUCCGAGAGGAGUAAGGACACUUGCAGACUACGAGUUUGAUAGGUCGGAGGUGUAAGCACAGUAAUGUGUUCAGCUGACCGAUACUAAAUGUCCGAGGGCUUGAACUUU